UCGGACGUGGUGUAAUGCAACACGGCCUCUUUCUCUGCACUAGAUGCAUGUGUGCGGGAGGCAAUACCGGGUUCGAUUCCCGGCGUCCGAA